GAUGAACGCUGGCGGCGUGCCUAAUACAUGCAAGUCGAGCGAACAGACGAGGAGCUUGCUCCUCUGACGUUAGCGGCGGACGGGUGAGUAACACGUGGAUAACCUACCUAUAAGACUGGGAUAACUUCGGGAAACCGGAGCUAAUACCGGAUAAUAUAUUGAACCGCAUGGUUCAAUAGUGAAAGACGGUUUUGCUGUCACUUAUAGAUGGAUCCGCGCCGCAUUAGCUAGUUGGUAAGGUAACGGCUUACCAAGGCAACGAUGCGUAGCCGACCUGAGAGGGUGAUCGGCCACACUGGAACUGAGACACGGUCCAGACUCCUACGGGAGGCAGCAGUAGGGAAGCUUCCGCAAAGGGCGAAAGCUUGACGGAGCAACGCCGCGUGAGUGAUGAAGGUCUUCGGAUCGUAAAACUCUGUUAUUAGGGAAGAACAAAUGUGUAAGUAACUAUGCACGUCUUGACGGUACCUAAUCAGAAAGCCACGGCUAACUACGUG
rnacentral:rRNA from 1 species